UGUAACGUACAUAGACUACAUACAUUUGCAUUUUGCAACAGAAACAGCUUCUUAUAGAGUAUUGUUUUACAGGCUAAUCUUUUUUUAUGUAAUGUAUUCAAAUGUAAUUAUAAUUAGGAUUGGGAUAAUACAAAAAUAUACUUUUUGCUUAGUGAUAUCUAUUACAUUGUGACAGAAUUUGGUUUCUCAAUAAUUCUCAUCCUGAGUGCCAAACUGAUCAACUGCAUCCUAAUGGAACGUUCAAGAUGUGAUUCAGUAACUGAUACGGUAAUUGCAAUAAUUAUUUUUGACCAAAUUGAAUCCACAAAAUAAUUGAAGAAAUGGUCUUCAACUCCAAACCACCGUAUUAAUACCAGUAUACAAUUUAUAAGUCUAUUACAGCUGUUAACUUUAGAUGCUAAAUCAUAUUAUCACAACAUUAUCUUCAAUCAUGAUCAUCUUCCCGUUCAUCGGUAGCCGCUGGGCCGACAAUUUUGGAAACAUAGUUUCUCGAUUGAUCAAAGCACCACAGACUGCAUCGUUCGUCACCUCUGCCUUUAAGCGCGUUAUCACCUACUCCAAUAAGCCACCCCAAUAUCCUUAAUAAGCAAUAGAAGUUCUUAUCGACUGUGUAUGACUCAUUAAUAUCCAUGUUCUGUAUAAAUUUAUGUGAUAGGCCUACUGGUAUUAAUGUUGAUGUACCGUAAUGUUUUUUGCUCAUGUAUAAUUGAUAAUAAUACAUUAAAAAUAAAUAUAAUGUUAAAUUAUUA